rnacentral:rRNA from 1 species
GAUGAACGCUGGCGGCGUGCCUAAUACAUGCAAGUCGAGCGAACGGACGAGAAGCUUGCUUCUCUGAUGUUAGCGGCGGACGGGUGAGAAACACGUGGAUAACCUACCUAUCAGACUGGGAUAACUUCGGAAAACCGGAGCUAAUAGCGGAGAAUAUUUUGAACCACAUGGUUCAAAAGUUAAAGACGGUCUUGCUGUCACUAAUAGAUGGAUCCGCGCUGCAUUAGCUAGUUGGUAAGGUAACGGCUUACCAAGGCAACGAGUCAUAGCCGACCUGAGAGGGUGAUCGGCCACCCGGGAAGUGAGACACGCUCCAGACUCCUACGGGAGGCAGCAGUCGGGACUCUUACGCAAUGGGGGAAAGCCUGACGGAGCACAACGGCGUGAGGGAUGAAGGUGUAACGCUCGGAACACGAUGUUAUUAGUGAAGAACAUAUGUGUAAUUAGCUGUGAAGAACCUGACGGUACCUAAUCAGACAGCCACGGCUAACUCCGUG